rnacentral:rRNA from 1 species
GCAAGUCGAACGGCAGCACGGGGGCAACCCUGGUGGCGAGUGGCGAACGGGUGAGUAAUACAUCGGAACGUGUCCUGUAGUGGGGGAUAGCCCGGCGAAAGCCGGAUUAAUACCGCAUACGCUCUACGGAGGAAAGGGGGGGAUCUUAGGACCUCCCGCUACAGGGGCGGCCGAUGGCAGAUUAUCUAGUUGGUGGGGUAAAGGCCUACCAAGGCGACGAUCUGUAGCUGGUCUGAGAGGACGACCAGCCACACUGGGACUGAGACACGGCCCAGACUCCUACGGGAGGCAGCAGUGGGGAAUUUUGGACAAUGGGGGCAACCCUGAUCCAGCAAUGCCGCGUGUGUGAAGAAGGCCUUCGGGUUGUAAAGCACUUUUGUCCGGAAAGAAAACGCCGUGGUUAAUACCCGUGGCGGAUGACGGUACCGGAAGAAUAAGCACCGGCUAACUACGUGCCAGCAGCCGCGGUAAUACGUAGGGUGCAAGCGUUAAUCGGAAUUACUGGGCGUAAAGCGUGCGCAGGCGGUCCGCUAAGACAGAUGUGAAAUCCCCGGGCUUAACCUGGGAACUGCAUUUGUGACUGGCGGGCUAUAGUAUGGCAGAGGGGGGUAGAAUUCCACGUGUAUCAGUGAAAUGCGUACAGAUGUGAAGGAAUACCGAUGGAGAAGGCAGCCCCCUGGGCCAAUACUGACGCUCAUGAUCAAAAGCGUGGGGAGCACACAUGAUUACAUCUCCCUGGUAGUCCACGCCUCUAAACGAUGUCCCACUACUUGUUGGGUCUUC